rnacentral:rRNA from 1 species
UACGUAGGGUGCAAGCGUUAAUCGGAAUUACUGGGCGUAAAGCGUGCGCAGGCGGUGAUGUAAGUCCGCUGUGAAAUCUCGAGGCUCAACUUCGAGCUGUCGGUGGAAACUGUCUGGCUAGAGUCCGGAAGAGGAGAAUGGAAUUCCUGGUGUAGCGGUGAAAUGCGCAGAUAUCAGGAAGAACACCCGUGGCGAAGGCGGUUCUCUGGGACGGUACUGACGCUGAGACGCGAAAGCGUGGGGAGCGAACAGG